ACCCCAAUUAAAAGACACAGACUAGCAAGUUGGAUAAAGAGUCAAGACCAUUGGUGUGCUGUAUUCAGGAGACCCGUCUCACAUGGAAAGACAUAUAUAGGCUCAAAAUAAAGGAAUGGAGGAAUGUUUACCAAGCAAAUGGAAAAAAACAAAAAAAGCAAGGA